GUCCCCGUAGCUCAGUUGGAUAGAGCGCCUCCCUUCUAAGGAGGAGGUCGCAGGUCCGAUCCCUGCCGGGGAUA
rnacentral:tRNA from 4 species